CGGGGCGUGAAUACCAGGAGUGGGGAACAUUAGGGGCCAUCUUGGAGGCUACCUACCACAGAAAGAGUCUCAAAACAAUGGAAUUUAUGCUUGGCUGCUAAUCCUUACCACAGUGGAGAAUAGCCUUAGGACAACUCCGAGGGGGCAGACGUUAUGAGCGCCAUUUCAGAGAUAAGGAAAAUGAGCCGCAGAGAAGUUAAGUGAAUAAUGGGAACUGUGAUUAUUUUUGAGCGUCUAGGACCAUGAAGUAGCUCUGCAUGCAUGAACCCAUUCCUGAGCGGCUGCAACUGGCCAUAUCCACACCAAUUUAUGAGACCUCGUUCAGCCUCCUGAAGGUAACCAAACAGAGAAAAUGAGAGGAGACGGGGCUGGAAGGGCAUGACGCACGGGAGACCAAAUAUACACUGUGAGCUGAAUGCUACCAAGAGAGGCUUUGCCACUAUUUUCUGCUCGCCUCAGUAGAAUCUGGGUUUCAUAAUAAGAAUAUGGCCGAAA